UGCUGUUGGUGUCUGGUCCUUUUGAAGUUAAAGCACUAUCCAUACGAUGCAGUGUUGACUUGAUGAUGAUCAUGAUGAUGAUAUUAUGAUGAUGUCUUGACCUGAUGAUGAUGAUGAUGGUAAUGAUGAUGAUGAUGAUCACAACAAGAGAGACAACAUCAUUUUCCUUUCAGACAAUGUCUUCUUAUAAUCUUGUUGACAUGUAGGGAUGGAUGGUUCUUCCAUUUCCAGAUCUCCCAUUGUGUCAUGUAUCUAUUGUUAUAAUAAUCACUGAUCAACUUCAACUGCUGUUUCUUAGAGUUCACCCCUCUGCCUCUUUUAAAGCAGAAGUGAGUGUAUUUGGUGAGGAGGUUUUUGUCAUGGUGUAUAUCACUGUGAUACAUAAUCAUAAACAGAGCUGUUCCAGGUCUUACAGUAAUACACUGCUGAGUCUGUCUCCUCCACAUUGUUAAUAAUCAAACGAUAAUCUGAUUUAGACUGAUGAUUAGAUGUGAAUUUAGGAGAGGAGAAACCAGAGCCAUAUUCUACAGAUCUCCAACCAGUGUGGUACCACCUUAAUUAACAUGUACUCAGGGACUUCUCCUGGAACCUGUUUAUGCCAACCAGCAAUAUUAUUAACAGUCCCCAGGUUACAGUCCAUAGUGGCCGUCUCUAUUAUCAACAGUCCCCAGGUAACAGUCCAUAGUGGCCGUCUCUAUUAUCAACAGUCCCCAGGUAACAGUCCAUAGUGUCCGUCUCUAUUAUCAACAGUCCCCAGGUUACAGUCCAGUGUGGCCGUCUCUUAUCAACAGUCCCCAGGUUACAGUCCAUAGUGGCCUUCUCCAUUAUCAACAGUCCCCAGGUUACAGUCCAUAGUGGCUGUCUCUAUUAUCAACAGUCCCCAGGUUACAGUCCAGAGUGCCCGUCUAUUAUCAACAGUCCCCAGGUUACAGUCCAUAGUGGCCGUCUCUAUUAUCAACAGUCCCCAGGUUACAGUCCAGAGUGGCUGUCACUAUUAUCAACAGUCCCCAGGUUACAGUCCAGAGUGUCCGCCUCUAUUAUCAACAAUCCCCAGGUAACAAUCCAUAGUGUCUGUCUCUAUCAUCAACAGUCCCCAGGUUACAGUCCAGUGUGGCCGUCUCUAUUACCAACAGUCCCCAGGUAACAGUCAGAGUGCCUGUCUCUAUUAUCAACAGUCCCCAGGUUACAGUCCAGAGUGCCCAUCUCUAUUAUCAACAGUCCCCAGGUUACAGUCCAUAGUGGCCGUCUCUCCUUUCCUCUCUGUCACAACAGGAGGCUUCUGUGUCACCACAGUCACACCACUGACACCUGGGAAAUAAGAAGAUGACAUGUAGUAUAGAGAAACAUACAGACUCAUUAUUAAUAAAACAGGAAGUAAAACCUCCAGGAAGUCAGACUCCUUACAUGUUAGAGCAGUGAUGAGAGUGCAGAGUGUCCCCAGCAUGUUGUCAGUGUGUGGUGUGAACGGCCCUUACUGUCCAGCUGAGAGAUGAGCAGGGUUAGAGUGUGAGGAGAGGAGAGGCUGCAGAACCCACCUAUAAGGAGACAGACAGGGAGGACCAGAGGGAGGGGCCUCUACAGUUAACCUAUCACCAAGCCAGGGUAGGACCAGAGGGAGGGGCCUCUACAGUUAACCAAUCACUAUCUACUCUCAAACGUACUGUAUCUGGGUAUUCACAAGACCAACAGACAGAUUUCUAAAUAAUAACUGGAUGUAUCCUAUAUUUUCAUCAUUAUGACAUACAUUUCAAUUAGAGUCACUAUUAAACUAUAGAAAAUGGAAAUAUUUAGAGAAGACUAUUUCAUAAACAUAUUGGAUUUGUUUU
rnacentral:lncRNA from 1 species